rnacentral:rRNA from 1 species
AUUGAACGCUGGCGGCAUGCUUUACACAUGCAAGUCGAACGGUAACAGGCCGCAAGGUGCUGACGAGUGGCGAACGGGUGAGUAAUGCAUCGGAACGUGCCCAGUCGUGGGGGAUAACGCAGCGAAAGCUGUGCUAAUACCGCAUACGAUCUAUGGAUGAAAGCGGGGGACCGCAAGGCCUCGCGCGAUUGGAGCGGCCGAUGUCAGCUUAGGUAGUUGGUGGGGUAAAGGCUCACCAAGCCAACGAUCUGUAGCUGGUCUGAGAGGACGACCAGCCACACUGGGACUGAGACACGGCCCAGACUCCUACGGGAGGCAGCAGUGGGGAAUUUUGGACAAUGGGCGCAAGCCUGAUCCAGCAAUGCCGCGUGCAGGAAGAAGGCCUUCGGGUUGUAAACUGCUUUUGUACGGAACGAAAAGGUUUGGGUUAAUACCCUGGGCCGAUGACGGUACCGUAAGAAUAAGCACCGGCUAACUACGUGCCAGCCGCCGCGGUAA